CGUUAGCCCUGCGCCAGUAGAAUUUCCAACCCGCUUUUGACAGCAGCCGUCCGAUGUGGUAGCUUUUUUCUCACCCGCUGCUUCUCUGGACAGGUGACUGACGGGUGGGACUAGGUGUGUGCGGGACCAGCGAACAGAGGCAGGGACGCUGCUCGUUUCACGUCGCAUGGAUCACACAUCAUGGUAAAAACCUAGAUCGAGAUAACCAUCCAAUCCCCUCCCGACCAUGUGCUUCCCAUCUGCGCUCCUUCCUCCUCCCGCACAUCGUUGUGGCGGCGGACCACUCCCGCGCCAAGAGAUCAUCGCCAUUCGCUUGGUGCCCCUUCCUCCCGCUCCUCCCCCACAUCGUUGUGGCGGCGGAUCCUACCGGUGGCUGGGCGUCUUCCAUUGCUCGUGAAGGGCUGGAUUUGCAGGCGGCGGCGUGGAGGUUGUAGGCCGACGCGGAGAAGAGGCAGAGGCGCGCGGGAGAUGCGGAGAAGCAGAAGCGGGGCGGCGGCGUGGAUGAUGCAGGCCGGCGCGGAGAAGAGGCAGCGGCGGGCGGUACGACGGCGCCAGCAAGAAGCAGCGGUGCGGCGCGGAGAAGAGGCAACAGGGGCGGCGCGGGCAAGAAGCGGCGGCGCGACGCCCACGAGCUCGUCCUCACGGAGGGAUGCGGUCAAGAAUUAGUGGGGCCAGUGCAGAUGCCGCCUACGAGCUCGUCCUCGCGGAGGACGCCGUACACCACGAGCUCGUCCUCACGGAGGAUGGGUCGACACCGGCGGCCUUUGCGCCAGCAAGAAGCAGCGGUGUGGCGCGGAGAAGAGGCAGCAGGGGGCGGCGCGGGCAAGAAGCGGCGGCGCGACGCCCACGAGCUCGUCCUCACUGAGGGAUGCGGUCAAGAAACAGUGGGGGCGGUGCAGAUGCCGCCUACGAGCUCGUCCUCGCGGAGGACGCCGUACACCACGAGCUCGUCCUCACGGAGGACGGGUCGACACUGGCGGCCUUUGGCACUAUGCACGAGAUUGAGCCGGCGGUCUACUGGCUAAGAGGUCCGCUUUCCUUAUCUUCGUCCACAGCAUCCACACCUCCGCGUCAAGCUGGACGAAUUUGUGCGUGGUGUCAUCCUCGGAACGCGGGCAACCUGCUACUGCCGCUGAUGUUUCUUCAUAUGUUCCUUGGCAGCCAGUCGACGGUUUGGAAUGGUGAUGGGUUGAGCAACAAUACAACGUUUCUUUGUCCUAGGAAAUAUGAACAAUGUGGAGAAAUGGAAUUGGAAAAGAGAUGCUAUUGGUGUUGUCCCUGUCUAAUAGAUGACACAAUGUACGGGAUAUUUUGGGCUGGAGCAUUGCAGCUCUGACGCUUGUGCUGCUGUGCCCCAAAGUUUUGCAAAUGGUUUCUACUGACAAGAAGCUGCAGGGCAGUGCGGACAAGAAUCAGCAGGGCGGCGGUGCUCCGCCUAGAGGACUUGCAGGGGAGAGGAAGGAGGCCAGCAACAGGAGGGAAGAGCAGGCGGCCUCCCCUCUUUCUUUUUCCGGCACUGCAGGACGAGGAGUUCAUCUUGCCUGUUUGGCUGGUUCGGUUCUCUUCUCCUUUCCUGCUGCCUCCCUUACCGCCUCACUCCCCUUCAUCCCUAAGAACUAGAGGACAUGAGAUCAAACUGGUUCUUUGGGAUGAUCUUGCAGCUCAGUGCACCUUCUUUGUUGGACCAUUCCCUGAGAUGGUAAAAGCAGGUAUUUUGAGUAAUGGAAAUUAUUAUACUUGGAUUGUAAGUGUGAUGCGAUUUUUCUUUUAAACUAAACCAACCAUGAUUCGGUUUGUCCACAGAGUGCAUGACUGUUUUAGAGUAAGCUAACCUUGACUGUUUUAAAGUAAAUGGCAUAUUUUGAAUGAUUUCUUUUAUUCGAGCAUUGUUGACCACUAUUCUUUAUGUUAUGACAUUUUCUAUUUAUGCUUCGGAGCUAAUGCAACUAUGUGACCAAUCAUGUAUUUAUAAAGCGGGUGGCGGAUUUCGAGCGAGCAACGACGACCUUGCGUGGGCACAGAGGCCAUGGUGAGCGAUGCGGAAAAGCUUGAUUUCGAGCGGAUCCAAGGAGAGAGGAAAAGCGCAAAUGCCUACGGGAGGAAGAGCAGCGCGGCUGACCGGGAACCGUUCAGUUGAUUGCAAUUAUGGUGCUGCACAACACCCAGGCAGGCUGUCAAAGGCUGCCCCUUCUUUCUCCAUUUUAGCAACUGCAGUACCUGAUGGAUGCUACUAAUCAGGGAGUAGGUUGCAGCUCACUCAAAACAAUUUGGUGGGGCUGGCUUGGCCAUGUCAGAGAGCAGCACGGCGGCGGCUCAAGCGUGGAAGGAGGGGGUGUGGUGGGUGUUGGAUCCGACGACUUGCCAUGAACGCGCUUCAUCGCGUCGCCGCUGCAGUCGUUGUGGAAGCUGUACGACAUGAUGGUGCUGGAUCAUGCCAGACCAUGGGCCGUGAGGUUUCCAUGGUUAGAAACACGAUCAAAAGCCCCAGAGGCAGUAGUAUAUUUGGUACUAUAUUAGUUUGAAGAUUGCGUUGGAUCCAUAAGAAAGAGGGAAGAUAUGGAGUGGUAACUCCAUAUUUCACAUCGAUGUGUGACAGGACUGAGAAAAGAAGCCCCAUCUACUUGGUCAAUCGGUCUUAUGGGAUUUUGGCGUUCUUUGUAGAAGAGAAAAGAAGAUUCAGAUUGUAGAUCGCUUGAUUAAAGAGUGAGAGGUCCAUUCUUAUUUUAUAGUUUGCUUACAGUCUGUUUGCACCUGACACAAUUUUCAGAGGAUAUGUUUUCAGAUCUUCUGUUUCCUUAAAUGAUAAGAUUCAUUGAGCUACUGCAUAAUUUUCAAGUAACGAUGAUGAAGUGGGGCAGCAAUACAUAUCAAGUCUAGCCAGCAGCUGAAAAGAAAAAAAAGGUUUGCAUACUCGCCUUUUUUACUUUGUGGGAGUAAAUGGGCUUCCACCUAUUUAUUAUGAGCCUGUAGUUAAAAUAAUUGAUCAUCAAUAGGUGGUGCCUGAAUAAAUAGCUAUAACAAGUUUUUUUCUAGCAUCUACUCACGAACUGGUUAUAUGUUUCCAGUUAUGUAUUAUUUUACCUGAAUACACAGAGCACAAUUUCGCACAGUUGCAAUGGCCUCUUUGCUUGUGCAGAAGUGCAGUUUUUGCAAGGCUGACAACAUGGCUACUUUUUAACUGAUGUAUUGUUGGGUUCCUUUUCUUUAGCUGUUGGUGUGCCAUGGUAAUUGUCCUGAAAGAAAACCAACUAAAUUUGUUGUGUUUUUAACACGAUUUUGGUGUGUUUGAGAUUAUGCCACUUACACUCGUAUUGCAUUUUUUCUCAGCCAAAAAGAACAUUCGUUCUAUUCUCACCCAAUUUAUUAUUUCAUACAUCACAUGCUAAAUGUAUUCUCAGGGCAAAGGCAAUGCGUAUUAAAGCUUUUUGUUGCUGCAUAGACAAACCCGUCUCAAUUAUUGUUGUAUCGCUUCUCUUGAUAUUCAGAAUUUAACAUGGAUUUUUAUGUUCUUGAUAAUCCUAUAUAAAAUGCUAAAAUUGUGUUGAUGUUAAACAAAAAACUCAAAAAUGUAGGGAUUGAGCGAUAUAUGCAAUUUUUAAUUUAUGUUGAUGUACUGCCUGAUGAUAUUUUUUUUGAAAGCUUAUUGCCUGAUGAUGUUCUUGUGUGCUUGGGGAUCUGCUUGCGGGUGACUUUAUAAAUAACGAAAACAAAAAACUGGUCUUUAUUUUUCUGAAGCUAUGACCUUUUAACAGUAGCCUUAGUUCUUUGUCAGAUGCUUGUUUUGCCGUUGUUUUUAUUUAUGACCCCAUCAAUUCGGGCUUUUUGCAAGCUAGGUAUUUAUUUUGUUGUUUUAACAGAUUCAUAGGUUCACUCCUUUUCUGGUUUAAUUGCGAGCUGCUCCGUUCACACCUUUCAGGUGGAUGAGUUUGUUCAAACAAUUAAAGUAGACAAACAGAAAUCUUGAUGAAACACUACAUUUUUCAGUACCGAUCGUUAUACAUACAAAGUAUAAAUGAACUACUGAGGUUCAUCAUUGAUUGCUAAAUUGAAUUUUGAAUUUUAUAGUUGUUUUUCCAUGUGAGAGAGAUAUCAUAUUGGUAGCAUCCUGAAACCUCCUCAAAACAGAAUUUCUUGCUUUGAUGUUGUAUUUUUUGUAGGACAAUGAUAAUAUAUAUAAACCUAAUUUUGAACAAGCUACUGAAAGGUAUCAACAGCUAGAGAGAACAUCUAGAGCGUUUCCAAUGUCGAGAUCAAGUGAAUUUGUGUUGGGCUCGGUGGUGCUCGACUCUCCUAGCAUGAGGCUUUUGGGAGCAUUGUGUUGUAGAGUCCUCUCCUUGUGUGCCAGGCUGGCAUCAUUUCUACCAAUCGUGUUGUUGUUACAACUACUACAGCUUCAUUGCGCUUUGACUGUAAUUUGCAUCACUGUAUAUAUUUCUACUUUUCUGAGAUGAUUUUUUGAUGAUUAUAUGGUUCCAAACUUGUAUGGUUUAAGCAUGCAAUCCUCAGCCUUUUUAGGUAACUAUGUAUGGAGAUCAAAUCACAAUAGUUCCUAGGUGUAUCCAAAUGAGUGCUCAGAUGAUAGAAACCACACCAAAGUGAAUCCAGGAAACUUCGUGAUUUGUUAAAUCUGAUGGUCUUUCAGUAUGAAAAUCAUAAAGGUACACAUGAUUAGAGUUACUGUUUUUUUAUCUAAUUUAACACCAAGGAUGAAAUUUGAGAGAUCAAAAUCAAAUUCUCCUUUCUAAUAUGAGAAAUAUGGCGCCAUUAUGAUUUUCGUUCCAUUUGGACAAAAUAUUUGGAUCUUUAUAACUCCUUGCAAAUUACAGUUGUUAUUUUAUCUGCAGGUGGUUAUUGUUUUCCUUGCACUUGAGUUCAGACCAGCUGGAAUUAUUCUUGCCUGCGAAGCUUAGGACAUAUGGCUCUCCAUUUACUCCAUUUCAAUGUAGCAGUCUCUUUAUCAUAUCUAUUUUCUUUUGCUGCAGUGGAGUUUCAGAAGAAAGCCAAGACAAUACAAGUGAGAUAGCUAGCCGCACCAAUCAGUUGUGUGGACACGUGAAGUGUCUUAUGUCAUUGGUGGAUCUCCCAUGGGCUGGAUUUUUUAUGUGUGGCCUGAAGGAAAAGAAGAAUGGCUGUCACUUCAAGCUGAAAAGUCAAAUAUCACUCACUCAGCCACUCAACCACCUG